rnacentral:rRNA from 1 species
GACGAACGCUGGCGGCGUGCUUAACACAUGCAAGUCGAACGGAAAGGCCCUGCUUUUGUGGGGUGCUCGAGUGGCGAACGGGUGAGUAACACGUGAGUAACCUGCCCUUGACUUUGGGAUAACUUCAGGAAACUGGGGCUAAUACCGGAUAGGAGCUCCUGCUGCAUGGUGGGGGUUGGAAAGUUUCGGCGGUUGGGGAUGGACUCGCGGCUUAUCAGCUUGUUGGUGGGGUAGUGGCUUACCAAGGCUUUGACGGGUAGCCGGCCUGAGAGGGUGACCGGCACAAUGGGGACGGAGAUCGGGCCCAGCCCCCUAGGGGGGGAGGGGGGGGGGAAUUUGGCACAAGGGGGGGAAGCGUGAGGCAGCAACCCCGGGGGGGGGAGGGCGGCCUUGGGGUGGUAAACCCCUUUCGCCGGGGACGAAGGGGGGGGGAGGGUAAGGGGUAAAAGAGCCCGGGUAAAUCAGGU